GUCCCGCCCUCGGGUUAAGUGAGCAGAGAUUCCCCUCGCGCCCCAGCAAGGGUGGGGGUCCUGGAUGUUUCCUAAGUUGCCGCAGGCUCCUUAGCGCGUAGUCGGGCCAGCGGGGGCGUUCUACCAUGGUGUGUGAGUCUGAGAAACAGCCUACCUGAUUGUGUGAUACUGCAUUUUCAUCAACAUUGAAGCAAAACCCUCUACCAGCCACAUGAUUACGACUUGCUGAAGAUUCAGAUGAUAGCAUCUUUUUAACAAAUUUUUUUUAUAAUUAAGUGGUCUGGAAACAAUCCUGCAAUAUCUCUGCGAUAUAUCAGUAUGUACACAUGGAAUAUUAUUCAGCCAUAAAAAAAAGAAUGAAAGCUGCCAUUUGCAACAUUGGUGGGCCCUGAGAGCAUUAUGCUAAAUAAAAUAAGUUUGCCCAGCUGGCGUGGCUCAGUGGUUGA